rnacentral:tRNA from 1 species
AUUUAUAUAGUAUAAAAAGUAUAUUUGACUUCCAAUCAUAUGGUCUAUUAUUUAAUAGUAUAAAUA